AGGCUACAGCAGCUACUAAUCCAUCAUUAGAAGAGCCCCACCAAAUCAACAUCCCUGCUCUUCCUCAGAUUUUAGAUACAAAUGAUGAUCUCGCCGAUGAGGAGCUGCAAGAUGAUCUGUCUAAGAUAACUGCUAAACAUCACUCUUCCGCUCUUUCCGGCAGCGGCAAUGACGAUCCCUCCACCAAACGUUAAUAACCUUCCAGUUUUACUACCCAGGAGUUGAAUUGCUUUUGCUGUUAAUGGAACUUCGUCCUAUGCCACCAAGAUUGUUUCCAGGGACUCAAUUCCUUUUGCUGUCAAUAUAAGUUUGUCUUAUGGCAUCGACAACACCAGCACCUCCUGUUGCUGAUAUAGUUGUAAAUAUAACUUAAUGCUAAACCUUGCUGCGUGAUCAAAACUGUUCUUCUGCACCUCACCAUCCAGGGACUAAAUUUCUUUUGCUGUUAAUAUAGCUUUAUCCUGUGCCAUGGACAUCAUCAGCAACACCUGUUCCCGAUAUGAUUGUAAAUACAAACUUAAUGUUAAACCUUCCCGCACACUACUUUCCUUUUGUUGUUAAUAUAGCUUUAUAGUAAGGCACAAACCCUUAUA